AUACACGCCCAGAUGAUGUCACAAUCAGCUGUAUCUAAACAGAGCAGAGCUCAGGUGACAUCACAGAACAGGCAGAGGCAGUUCAGGGGUAUUCUGGUUGCCUUACCCAGCUCUGAAGUCUGUCAGCCUCUUCAGAUGUCACUUGCCAUGUGGUAAGGAAGUGUAGUCAGCAGCUGGUGCAGUGGGAAGAAGAGAAAGGAAGUUCCCCAAGACAAAAACAUCUCGGCAGACUUCAUCAUGAAUUCAUGGCAUCACACAGUCCCCUGAUGCUAUAACAUCAUGGAUUUCUUUUGUCCAGUGAGAGGCCCAAAAGCUGCAGCAUAGACAAUAUCAUAGUGUAGAAGGUUCACUAGACCGUGAUCAUGGGCUACAUUCUCCGUACCAGCUUCAUAGCUCCAGUGAGAAAAUAAAUUCCUGCAUCCAGGAGAUGUGGAGUAAGAGAUACAGCUGCCCUUGACCAUAUUUCUUACUUCCGAGAAGAUCGUAGCAGUAAUUCAGAAUCUCAUCCAGGAUACCUCAUCACAGGCUGGAGUGCAGUGUCAUGAGCUUGGCUCACUACAGCCUCCAUCUUCUGUGCUUAAGGAUCCUUCCCUCUCAACCUCCAAGGUAGCUGAGACUACAGGCAACAUUCGAAACCCAGGUGCCACUCCUUCAGGAAGGUACCAUCAAGCUCCAAGGACUCAUCCUCUUUCUCCUUCCCCACUACCUAGUCAUUAGAGCGUCAGCAUCCACUUCCUGAAAGGAAGAUGCCUGUUUUUCACAUAUCCCAGAAAGCCUCAUUUUAGGACAGCAUUUAGCAGAGUGUAUUCAGGAUCCCACUAACCUUUUCGGAAGACAUGACUUCCAGAUGAUAUAAGGCUCCAUCAGGAACUGUGCAGGACUGUGCACUCUGUUGAUACUCACAUGGUGGAAUUAUAUUGCCCUUGGCCAACCCUAAAGCCAUCAAGAUAGCAGCAACUACUCUAUCAUUACUGUACCACCACCUGUAUGGAUCUCGUUGCCCAUAUGAAACUGAGUAAGGAACAAUGUGCAUCACACUCACAGAGAAAGAUGGACAAGUUUGGAAUAAUUCACUGUCGAAGUCUUCUUGAGCUGAGCAGUCAUGUGAGCUUGGAAGAUGAUCCCUCUCCAGCUGAUCCUUCAGCUCAGGCCAUCAUCUACAUCUGGAUUCCUGACCCGGAGAAACUAUGAGUAAUGUGUGCUGCUUUUGAGCCACUAAGCUACAUGAAUUAAUGAAGGAUCAUUAUUAAGUUUUUAAUGGGUCAAGAGAAAGUUACCACUGAGGUCUUCUCUACCUGGGCAACAAUUGACUCCUAACAACCACUAUAAGCUUGGAAGAUGAUCCCUCCCCAGCUGAUCCUUCAGGUCUCUACUUUUUGUAGCCUGGGGAUUUUCUACUCCCCCAACAGCCAGAUGAGGCAGAAACCCCUACAGACAUCCCUAUGUGCCUCCUGUGCAAGUGCAGUUGCCCCUUGAAGGCAGUUCUCCUGCUGCAGACCACGCCCACCAAGGGCAGAGUCACAGCCACUGCAGCUGAGCUCAGAGCCUUCUGUGGGGUCUGCAGGGGCAAGGCCAGCUGUCCCCUGGGAUAGUUUGAAGAAUGCAGUUUGUUUGUAUAAUAAAGAUGUUUCUCUACGUCAUUCAUCUUGCUAAUCAAGGACGUUUAACAGCUUCAGACUUUCCUGGUAAUAUUUGUUCUUGCCUUUUUUUGGCAAAUAUAGUUAACACUUCUAUGCAUUUUUUACCUCACAUAAACAUCAUCUAAAACCAUUCAUAUUUCUGUAUUGCGUAUUAAUG
rnacentral:lncRNA from 1 species